rnacentral:rRNA from 1 species
CUUGAAUAAAAUAAGAGGUCCAGCCUGCCCAGUGAAAUUAUUCAACGGCCGCGGUAUCCUAACCGUGCGAAGGUAGCGUAAUCACUUGUUCUUUAAAUGAGGACUAGUAUGAAUGGCACCACGAGGGUUCUACUGUCUCCUUUUUUUAAUCAGUGAAACUAAUCUCCCCGUGAAGAAGCGGGGAUCUUUAUAUAAGACGAGAAGACCCUAUGGAGCUUUAAACAACCAACAUUUGCUACACCAUAACAUUUCCCCUAAAAGAAGUAUAGCAUUAUGAUUAUUAGUUUUCGAUUGGGGUGAUCACGGAGUAAAAUAUAACCUCCAUGCCGAAAGGGUUCUUACCCUGAGCAAAAAGCCACAGCUUUAAGCACUAAAAAAUUAACGCAGUUUGACCCAAUAUUUUGAUCAACGAAC